rnacentral:rRNA from 1 species
GGUUAAGCGACUAAGCGUACACGGUGGAUGCCCUGGCAGUCAGAGGCGAUGAAGGACGUGCUAAUCUGCGAAAAGCGUCGGUAAGGUGAUAUGAACCGUUACAGCCGGCGAUGUCCGAAUGGGGAAACCCAGUGUGAUUCGUCACACUAUCGUUAACUGAAUACAUAGGUUAACGAGGCGAACCGGGGGAACUGAAACAUCUAAGUACCCCGAGGAAAAGAAAUCAACCGAGAUUCCCCCAGUAGCGGCGAGCGAACGGGGAGCAGCCCAGAGUCUGAAUCAGCUUGUGUGUUAGUGGAACGGUCUGGAAAGUCCGACGGUACAGGGUGAUAGUCCCGUACACCAAAAUGCACAGGUUGUGAACUCGAAGAGUAGGGCGGGACACGUGGUAUCCUGUCUGAAUAUGGGGGGACCAUCCUCCAAGGCUAAAUACUCCUGACUGACCGAUAGUGAACCAGUACCGUGAGGGAAAGGCGAAAAGAACCCCGGCGAGGGGAGUGAAAAAGAACCUGAAACCGUGUACGUACAAGCAGUGGGAGCACCUUCGGGUGUGACUGCGUACCUUUUGUAUAAUGGGUCAGCGACUUAUAUUCUGUAGCAAGGUUAACCGUAUAGGGGAGCCGCAGGGAAACCGAGUCUUAACUGGGCGUUAAGUUGCAGGGUAUAGACCCGAAACCCGGUGAUCUAGCCAUGGGCAGGUUGAAGGUUGGGUAACACUAACUGGAGGACCGAACCGACUAAUGUUGAAAAAUUAGCGGAUGACUUGUGGCUGGGGGUGAAAGGCCAAUCAAACCGGGAGAUAGCUGGUUCUCCCCGAAAGCUAUUUAGGUAGCGCCUCGUGAAUUCAUCUUCGGGGGUAGAGCACUGUUUCGGCUAGGGGGUCAUCCCGACUUACCAACCCGAUGCAAACUACGAAUACCGAAGAAUGUUAUCACGGGAGACACACGGCGGGUGCUAACGUCCGUCGUGAAGAGGGAAACAACCCAGACCGCCAGCUAAGGUCCCAAAGUCAUGGUUAAGUGGGAAACGAUGUGGGAAGGCACAGACAGCCAGGAUGUUGGCUUAGAAGCAGCCAUCAUUUAAAGAAAGCGUAAUAGCUCACUGGUCGAGUCGGCCUGCGCGGAAGAUGUAACGGGGCUAAACCAUGCACCGAAGCUGCGGCAGCGACACUAUGUGUUGUUGGGUAGGGGAGCGUUCUGUAAGCCUGCGAAGGUGACCUGUGAGGGUUGCUGGAGGUAUCAGAAGUGCGAAUGCUGACAUAAGUAACGAUAAAGCGGGUGAAAAGCCCGCUCGCCGGAAGACCAAGGGUUCCUGUCCAACGUUAAUCGGGGCAGGGUGAGUCGACCCCUAAGGCGAGGCCGAAAGGCGUAGUCGAUGGGAAACAGGUUAAUAUUCCUGUACUUGGUGUUACUGCGAAGGGGGGACGGAGAAGGCUAUGUUAGCCGGGCGACGGUUGUCCCGGUUUAAGCAUGUAGGCUGGUUGUCCAGGCAAAUCCGGAUAAUCAAGGCUGAGGUGUGAUGACGAGGCACUACGGUGCUGAAGUAACAAAUGCCCUGCUUCCAGGAAAAGCCUCUAAGCAUCAGGUAACAUCAAAUCGUACCCCAAACCGACACAGGUGGUCAGGUAGAGAAUACCAAGGCGCUUGAGAGAACUCGGGUGAAGGAACUAGGCAAAAUGGUGCCGUAACUUCGGGAGAAGGCACGCUGGUGUGUAGGUGAAGUCCCUGCGGAUGGAGCUGAGACCAGUCGAAGAUACCAGCUGGCUGCAACUGUUUAUUAAAAACACAGCACUGUGCAAACACGAAAGUGGACGUAUACGGUGUGACGCCUGCCCGGUGCCGGAAGGUUAAUUGAUGGGGUUAUCCGUAAGGAGAAGCUCUUGAUCGAAGCCCCGGUAAACGGCGGCCGUAACUAUAACGGUCCUAAGGUAGCGAAAUUCCUUGUCGGGUAAGUUCCGACCUGCACGAAUGGCGUAAUGAUGGCCAGGCUGUCUCCACCCGAGACUCAGUGAAAUUGAACUCGCUGUGAAGAUGCAGUGUACCCGCGGCAAGACGGAAAGACCCCGUGAACCUUUACUAUAGCUUGACACUGAACAUUGAGCCUUGAUGUGUAGGAUAGGUGGGAGGCUUUGAAGCGUGGACGCCAGUCUGCGUGGAGCCAACCUUGAAAUACCACCCUUUAAUGUUUGAUGUUCUAACGUUGGCCCCUUACCGGGGUUGCGGACAGUGUCUGGUGGGUAGUUUGACUGGGGCGGUCUCCUCCCAAAGCGUAACGGAGGAGCACGAAGGUUAGCUAAUCCUGGUCGGACAUCAGGAGGUUAGUGCAAUGGCAUAAGCUAGCUUGACUGCGAGCGUGACGGCGCGAGCAGGUGCGAAAGCAGGUCAUAGUGAUCCGGUGGUUCUGAAUGGAAGGGCCAUCGCUCAACGGAUAAAAGGUACUCCGGGGAUAACAGGCUGAUACCGCCCAAGAGUUCAUAUCGACGGCGGUGUUUGGCACCUCGAUGUCGGCUCAUCACAUCCUGGGGCUGAAGUAGGUCCCAAGGGUAUGGCUGUUCGCCAUUUAAAGUGGUACGCGAGCUGGGUUUAGAACGUCGUGAGACAGUUCGGUCCCUAUCUGCCGUGGGCGCUGGAGAAUUGAGGGGGGCUGCUCCUAGUACGAGAGGACCGGAGUGGACGCAUCACUGGUGUUCGGGUUGUCAUGCCAAUGGCACUGCCCGGUAGCUAAAUGCGGAAGAGAUAAGUGCUGAAAGCAUCUAAGCACGAAACUUGCCCCGAGAUGAGUUCUCCCUGAGACUUUAAGUCUCCUGAAGGAACGUUAAAGACGAUGACGUUGAUAGGCCGGGUGUGUAAGCGCAGCGAUGCGUUGAGCUAACCGGUACUAAUGAACCGUGAGGCUUAACCUU